GAUGCCAGCAGCCGCGGUAAUACGUAGGGCGCAAGCGUUAUCCGGAAUUAUUGGGCGUAAAGAGCUCGUAGGCGGUUUGUCGCGUCUGCUGUGAAAUCCCGAGGCUCAACCUCGGGCCUGCAGUGGGUACGGGCAGACUAGAGUGCGGUAGGGGAGAUUGGAAUUCCUGGUGUAGCGGUGGAAUGCGCAGAUAUCAGGAGGAACACCGAUGGCGAAGGCAGAUCUCUGGGCCGUAACUGACGCUGAGGAGCGAAAGGGUGGGGAGCAAACAGGCUUAGAUACCCUGGUAGUCCACCCCGUAAACGUUGGGAACUAGUUGUGGGGACCAUUCCACGGUUUCCGUGACGCAGCUAACGCAUUAAGUUCCCCGCCUGGGGAGUACGGCCGCAAGGCUAAAACUCAAAGGAAUUGACGGGGACCCGCACAAGCGGCGGAGCAUGCGGAUUAAUUCGAUGCAACGCGAAGAACCUUACCAAGGCUUGACAUAUACGAGAACGGGCCAGAAAUGGUCAACUCUUUGGACACUCGUAAACAGGUGGUGCAUGGUUGUCGUCAGCUCGUGUCGUGAGAUGUUGGGUUAAGUCCCGCAACGAGCGCAACCCUCGUUCUAUGUUGCCAGCACGUAAUGGUGGGAACUCAUGGGAUACUGCCGGGGUCAACUCGGAGGAAGGUGGGGAUGACGUCAAAUCAUCAUGCCCCUUAUGUCUUGGGCUUCACGCAUGCUACAAUGGCCGGUACAAAGGGCUGCAAUACCGUGAGGUGGAGCGAAUCCCAAAAAGCCGGUCCCAGUUCGGAUUGAGGUCUGCAACUCGACCUCAUGAAGUCGGAGUCGCUAGUAAUCGCAGAUCAGCAACGCUGCGGUGAAUACGUUCCCGGGUCUUGUACACACCGCCCGUC
rnacentral:rRNA from 1 species